GUGGCCCUCACCAGCCCCCGCGCGUCGGGGCCUCGGAGAUGAGGGGCUUCACGACUAACCCUGCCGCCCCUGGCCACCGCUCCCCGCCCGAGACCCCGCGGUCUGGCCCCCCGGCCCGGGGCUGGGCUGCGGCUCUCCGACCCCCUCCCCCCGCACAGGAAGUGUCCGUCCGCGGCCAGUUCCCCCCGCUGGCUAGCGGCGCGGCCUCUCUAGGAGCGGCUGGAGGUGGAAACUCGUUGGCAUUAACCCUGGGCUGGAUGGCCCCGGCGUUAGGGCGAGGGGAAACGCAGCGUGCUGGAGCCAGCGGAAGGGGCUAGGGCAGUUGUGUGCCUAUAUCCUGGGUCUCCGUCUGUCCACGGGCCUGUCUGUCGAUCUCCCGAGCCCUGUGUCCCUCAGUGCGUGUGGCCAAGGGCGAGGCGACAAGCGAGACCAAGGUUCUAAGCGCUGAAGGAACCAGUCCAGAGAUCCUCCUGCAGAGAGGAAGCCUCUUUCUUUUUCAUAACCCUGUCUCUUCCCUUUACUCUCCUCAAAGCCUGAAUUUAACUCAAUCCCUGGGAACCUUAGUCCCUGGUACCUGAAUUUUCUCACAGGGAAGCAGGAUUUCUUGCAGGGGAGGAUGACAAUGAAGAGUUCAGGAAGAGAAUUGACAGACAGAACCACAGGACCCGUUUAAGUGAUCUAAGAACUUUCUAGUCCUGUCUGGCUUGACUGGAUGUUUGUGGAGGAAGAGAACCUGAGAAUACUGCCCCAGGUAUAGCUUUGAAUGCAGAAGAAAGUGACCCUGAAAAGACAACUUAAUAUCAUGCAAUCUUGUCCUUUUUCUGCCCUUCUUGCUGAAACAAGUUAGGUAACAUUCUUGACAAUUAAGGAGCCAAAUUGUCCUGUGUGAAUGUUACAGUGGCCAUAGAUUGUGUGUUUUCUUGCCUAACCGAACAAAUAAAGGUAAGAAACUUGUUGGGAAGAAAGAUGGCAUCUUCCAAUAUUCCUGAAAAGAGAUGAGAACAAUUAUUUAGAUAAUACCAAGUGGUAAUGAUAAAUUCCUUCUUAAGAUUGGGAGCCAUCUUGCACAAAGGCAUGAAAAGCUAAUUUCACUAUAAAUUACUGCGAUUUCUAAACUUGCUUGGAAUGCCUGCCCUUUCCUUGAACUCACCGGAGCUUGGCUUUCCCUGACCAGAUAACAACUCUCUCUCAAGCUCUAAUGGCCCUCAUAAAUUCUGAUGUUGGGGCCAACUAAAAUAUUAACUAGCCUUUGUGUUAUGCUUGUCAAAAUUUUGUUAUUUGUAAGUUCUCAAACCCCCCUUUGUAUAACUUUCUGUGUUAUAAAGCUGUGCUCCUUAGAAAGCUGUGGAGCUAUCUUCUGUUCCCACAGUUUUGGGGAGAGACAGCCCGGCCAGUCAAAAUUAUAAGCUUGCUUUAAUUUGAUUUAAAUUAGAGUCGGUGGUCCUUUCUUUGCAUCAUGGUCUAACAAUAAAAGACUGGAGAGAGGGCUGGGGUUGUAGCUCAGUGGCAGUGCGCUUGCCUUGCAUGCGUGAGGCCCUGGGUUCGAUCCUCAGCACCACAUAAAAAUAUUGUGUCCUUCUACAACUUAAAAUUAAAAAAAAAAAAGACUAGAGAGAGAGACUUACAAAUAGAAUUACAGAUCUUUUCACAGUGAAGUUAAGGCACCUUUCUGCCCUCCAGGGAAACAGCAACCAGUUCUAUGCUUCUGUCCUAUCACAAUAUCUGUUUGUUCUAAAAUCUUUGCUAAGAGUGAUAUGUGUGGUGCAUCACUAGAGAGCACACAUAGCCAGAACACCCUACAAAGUGCACUGAUUGUGGGAAGAGCUAUACAUGAGGCCACCUCUUGUCCCCAAAGCACAAACACAGGUAAGAAACAAAAGUUUCCUUUACAAAUUUUCUCUGACUUCUAACUUGUUUAUUCACCAGAAGAUUCACAGAAGAGCAACCAAAUUCUACAAAAUGUGUGGCAGGUCCUCCAGCCACAGCUCUGACACAGUCCAUUGCCUGCAUUCUUCUUAUCAUGAGUCACAAACCCAAAGUGUGGCAGAAGUCAG